AUUGAACGCUGGCGGAAUGCUUUACACAUGCAAGUCGAGCGGCAGCGCGGGGCAACCUGGCGGCGAGCGGCGAACGGGUGAGUAAUACAUCGGAACGUGCCCAGACGUGGGGGAUAACUACUCGAAAGAGUGGCUAAUACCGCAUAUUCUGUGAGCAGGAAGGCAGGGGAUCUUCGGACCUUGCGUUUCAGGAGCGGCCGAUGUCGGAUUAGCUAGUUGGUGGGGUAAAGGCCUACCAAGGCGACGAUCCGUAGCGGGUCUGAGAGGAUGAUCCGCCACACUGGAACUGAGACACGGUCCAGACUCCUACGGGAGGCAGCAGUGGGGAAUUUUGGACAAUGGGCGCAAGCCUGAUCCAGCCAUGCCGCGUGAGUGAAGAAGGCCUUCGGGUUGUAAAGCUCUUUCGGCCGGAAAGAAAUCGCAUGGGCGAAUACCCUGUGUGGAUGACGGUACCGGCAUAAGAAGCACCGGCUAACUACGUG
rnacentral:rRNA from 1 species